rnacentral:tRNA from 1 species
AAUUUCGUAGUUUAUAUUAAAACUCAAAAUUGCAAAUUUUAAAAAGAGAAAAUUCCGAAAUUU